UCCACCUCCACCCAGAGCCGCCGACUCCUCUCCCUCUCACCUCCCGAUUCAGAUCCAUGUCCAGCCUCCCUCCACGCGUGGCUGCCGAUCUCCAGCGCCGCCGCGCCAACCAUCUCCUGCUCCACCUCCGUCUCCCACCCUCUCUCGCUCCGCCACCACCCCCACUCUCUCCGACUCCCCCUCCCCCUGUGUAGCCUCCUCCGUUCCGCGAUGGGGCGGCCGUAGCGGCUCUCCUAGAUCUAUGUCAAGGGAAGCCCCCUACUCGUCGUCAUGGGCGCGAUGGUCAUGAGGAAAGUGGUUUAGGACGGCUAGAUGGAAGUUGUAGCCUACCCGCUGCCCAGGACAAGGAUGGAUGCCCUGACGCUCCCCCUUCUUCAAAAUCUCGCGCUGGGAGAGGAGGUGGUGGCCACUGUUUUCUUCGGCACUCCUCGGCCUUAUCCACAUCGCCACAGGUGACCUCGCCAGACCACUCGCUGUGAAGGUGGAGGAGAUAGCUAAAGUCGAGGGUGUUGUUGAUGACAUAAAAGGUGUUUAUAAAAUAGAGUCUUGUGAAGAACAAAGGAUACAAUAUAGAAAGGAUGUUCCCUCACACAUGACAGUAGCUGCACGGCCUAUGAACGAUGUUCCCUCCCCAACAACGCCUUUGUGAGCAUGCUCGCUGUUGGCGCUGUCAUGGCAGAAUCGUGCAAGCAUCGGCCAUGCAGGCACUGUGGUUGUGAUUGUUAUGCUGGGAAUGAUGUUCCUCAUGGUCCCAGUAAUGCUGUUAGUAUGGAAGAGGCACCGGAUCCUUGUUUUCGCAUUCCUUAAGCUCUUGUUGAUGGAGGAUAAAUGGAAAUAAGUGAUCAUCUAGUGGAGACAGAGCAGGUAACAUUGUGAGUAGGCCUUUUGGCCUGUUUACUUUUUGAUUGGAUCAGGCGUUCAUGUAAACAUGAUAGCUCCAAAUCUUGUUUCAAGAGUGAGUAGUUCGCCGAAACUGCAUUUUAAUAAAUAGGGGUUACUUCUCAAAUCUAAGAAAUUUAAAACCAAUCCUCAUUGCUGACUGGCAGUGUAUAUACAGUAAUGGUAUAUGAAGAUGAACUUGGCAAAAACUCAGCUUUUACCUUCGAAAUAUAUGUACAGAAUUUCCAGAUCUAAUCUGAAAUGUCAAUUAGGAAAUGCUGAGCAUUAUCUUUGACCUUUGAAACCAACAACCUACUGUAUGGACAAACACAAAUCAUACUACUGUCCUUUGUUUAGAAAUGCUGAGCAUUAUUUUGUUAGUGGGUUUAUAUGGCCUCAACUUCUGCUACUGUAGUACUUGAGUUUUGUGAUGUGUGUUUGUUAGUCAUUUGAAUUUCAUUCGGCACACUUCUCUCUGGUGACCGCUUCCUCUCUGAAUCUUUAACCCUAUUUUUCUCUAAAUUUAUUCUGUAUCUUGUACAAUGCAGGAUAACAAGUACAGACAACCUGCAGGGUACCAAGUAGAGGCAAACCGCAGGGUACAAGUACAGACACUAUGGUAUGUUGCUGUCCAUCAGAAUCCGCCAUGCCAUAUAGUUGCCAUCAGGAGGGUUGACAACAAGAACACGAGUGACAACCUUUGUAGUUAUAUGUUUUGUCAAUGUAAAUUGGAUUGUACCGGUUCCUAAUCCUAUGGAUGGUUGCAUAUUGAGUGAUUUUGUCAAUAUAUGGUGUAUAUUAUCAUUUCA